rnacentral:rRNA from 1 species
GACGAACUCUGGCGGCGUGCUUUACAUAUGCAAGUCGAACGGAAAGGCCCUGCUUUUGUGGGGUGCUCGAGUGGCGAACGGGUGAGUAACACGUGAGUAACCUGCCCUUGACUGUUGGAUAACUUCAGGAAACUGGGGCUCAUACCGGAUAGGCGCUCCUGCUGCAUGGUGGGGGUUGGAAAGUUUCGGCGGUUGGGGAUGGACUCGCGGCUUGUCAGCUUGUUUGAGGGGUAGUGGCUUACCAAGGCUUUGACGGGUAGCCGGCCUGAGAGGGUGACCGGGCACAUAGGGAAUAGAAUACGGCCCAGACUCCUACGAGAGGCAGAGGUGGGGGAUAUUGCGCAAUGGAGGGAAGCCUGGAGCAGCAACGCCGCGUGCGGGAAGACGGCCUUCUGGUUGUAGACCGCUUUCGCCUGUGACGAAGCGUGAGUGACGGGAAUGGCGAGAGAAGCACCGGGUAGGUACGUG